CGAGCGAGAGAGAGCUUGCUUUCUCGAGCGAGUGGCGAACGGGUGAGUAACGCGUGAGGAACCUGCCUCAAAGAGGGGGACAACAGUUGGAAACGACUGCUAAUACCGCAUAAGCCCACGGGUCGGCAUCGACCAGAGGGAAAAGGAGUAAUCCGCUUUGAGAUGGCCUCGCGUCCGAUUAGCUAGUUGGUGAGGUAACGGCCCACCAAGGCAACGAUCGGUAGCCGGACUGAGAGGUUGAACGGCCACAUUGGGACUGAGACACGGCCCAGACUCCUACGGGAGGCAGCAGUGGGGAAUAUUGCACAAUGGGGGAAACCCUGAUGCAGCGACGCCGCGUGGAGGAAGAAGGUCUUCGGAUUGUAAACUCCUGUUGUUGGGGAAGAUAAUGACGGUACCCAACAAGGAAGUGACGGCUAACUACGUGCCAGCAGCCGCGGUAAAACGUAGGUCACAAGCGUUGUCCGGAAUUACUGGGUGUAAAGGGAGCGCAGGCGGGAAGACAAGUUGGAAGUGAAAUCUAUGGGCUCAACCCAUAAACUGCUUUCAAAACUGUUUUUCUUGAGUAGUGCAGAGGUAGGCGGAAUUCCCGGUGUAGCGGUGGAAUGCGUAGAUAUCGGGAGGAACACCAGUGGCGAAGGCGGCCUACUGGGCACCAACUGACGCUGAGGCUCGAAAGUGUGGGUAGCAAACAGGAUUAGAUACCCUGGUAGUCCACACCGUAAACGAUGAUUACUAGGUGUUGGAGGAUUGACCCCUUCAGUGCCGCAGUUAACACAAUAAGUAAUCCACCUGGGGAGUACGACCGCAAGGUUGAAACUCAAAGGAAUUGACGGGGGCCCGCACAAGCAGUGGAGUAUGUGGUUUAAUUCGACGCAACGCGAAGAACCUUACCAAGUCUUGACAUCCCUCGACGAUGCUGGAAACAGUAUUUCUCUUCGGAGCAAGGAGACAGGUGGUGCAUGGUUGUCGUCAGCUCGUGUCGUGAGAUGUUGGGUUAAGUCCCGCAACGAGCGCAACCCUUAUGGUCAGUUACUACGCAAGAGGACUCUGGCCAGACUGCCGUUGACAAAACGGAGGAAGGUGGGGAGGACGUCAAAUCAUCAUGCCCUUUAUGACUUGGGCUACACACGUACUACAAUGGCGUUAAACAAAGAGAAGCAAGACCGCGAGGUGGAGCAAAACUCAGAAACAACGUCCCAGUUCGGACUGCAGGCUGCAACUCGCCUGCACGAAGUCGGAAUUGCUAGUAAUCGUGGAUCAGCAUGCCACGGUGAAUAAAAACCCGGGCCUUGCACA
rnacentral:rRNA from 1 species